rnacentral:lncRNA from 1 species
UUUUAUCUGUUCAAUUCCUAGAGUUUUAGAGAUUCUAUUGAACUGUGUCACUUGAGCAAACUUGUGUCCGUUGUUUCUUUCACUUUUAUGGGGUAUUGGCUAGGGGGUGGGUACCAGGGCGAGCUUCGAUAGGCCAGAAAUUGCUCUGUAAGCGCAGCCCACCUCUAUCCCAACUAAGACAGGUGUGCAUCCAGUGGGGAGCAAGGCCUGGCCAUCUGCUUCUGAUUUUCACCGACACUCGCACCCAAAGUCUGACACCUAAGCUAAGGGAUAGAUUUACAAAGCCAGGAUAACGGGCUUGGGUGAAAGGAAUUGUGGGACACUAUUGAACAAGAGUCACUAAGUACAAGUGAGACAAUGUUUCCAAAGCCCUUCCAUGUGCGGAGUCUCCCACUGGGAGCUAAACAAGAAUCCAAGGUUCUGGGAGGAAGACAACAGUCAAAUGGCUAUGAGGUGGAUUCAGAGAUGAACAUUGUAGCUAACUCUUAUAAUCCCAGCACACAGGAGGCUGAGGUAGGAGGAUCACAAAUCCGAGACCUCCCUGAGAUACAUAGUGAGUCCCAUCCAGCUAGGAAUAUAUAUCAAGGUAUGGUAUCAAUACAUAAACAAAAGAUAUGUCAAGGAAGCCAGAGUAAAAGCCUAGCAGGGAACAGUUU